AACUCUGGUAUUGAUUGGUGCUUGCAUCAUGAUUUACAUUUGAGUGAGUGGCGAACUGGUGAGUAACACGUGGGAAACCUGCCCAGAAGCGGGGGAUAACACCUGGAAACAGAUGCUAAUACCGCAUAACAACUUGGACCGCAUGGUCCGAGCUUGAAAGAUGGCUUCGGCUAUCACUUUUGGAUGGUCCCGCGGCGUAUUAGCUAGAUGGUGAGGUAACGGCUCACCAUGGCAAUGAUACGUAGCCGACCUGAGAGGGUAAUCGGCCACAUUGGGACUGAGACACGGCCCAAACUCCUACGGGAGGCAGCAGUAGGGAAUCUUCCACAAUGGACGAAAGUCUGAUGGAGCAACGCCGCGUGAGUGAAGAAGGGUUUCGGCUCGUAAAACUCUGUUGUUAAAGAAGAACAUAUCUGAGAGUAACUGUUCAGGUAUUGACGGUAUUUAACCAGAAAGCCACGGCUAACUACGUGCCAGCAGCCGCGGUAAUACGUAGGUGGCAAGCGUUGUCCGGAUUUAUUGGGCGUAAAGCGAGCGCAGGCGGUUUUUUAAGUCUGAUGUGAAAGCCUUCGGCUCAACCGAAGAAGUGCAUCGGAAACUGGGAAACUUGAGUGCAGAAGAGGACAGUGGAACUCCAUGUGUAGCGGUGAAAUGCGUAGAUAUAUGGAAGAACACCAGUGGCGAAGGCGGCUGUCUGGUCUGUAACUGACGCUGAGGCUCGAAAGUAUGGGUAGCAAACAGGAUUAGAUACCCUGGUAGUCCAUACCGUAAACGAUGAAUGCUAAGUGUUGGAGGGUUUCCGCCCUUCAGUGCUGCAGCUAACGCAUUAAGCAUUCCGCCUGGGGAGUACGGCCGCAAGGCUGAAACUCAAAGGAAUUGACGGGGGCCCGCACAAGCGGUGGAGCAUGUGGUUUAAUUCGAAGCUACGCGAAGAACCUUACCAGGUCUUGACAUACUAUGCAAAUCUAAGAGAUUAGACGUUCCCUUCGGGGACAUGGAUACAGGUGGUGCAUGGUUGUCGUCAGCUCGUGUCGUGAGAUGUUGGGUUAAGUCCCGCAACGAGCGCAACCCUUAUUAUCAGUUGCCAGCAUUAAGUUGGGCACUCUGGUGAGACUGCCGGUGACAAACCGGAGGAAGGUGGGGAUGACGUCAAAUCAUCAUGCCCCUUAUGACCUGGGCUACACACGUGCUACAAUGGAUGGUACAACGAGUUGCGAACUCGCGAGAGUAAGCUAAUCUCUUAAAGCCAUUCUCAGUUCGGAUUGUAGGCUGCAACUCGCCUACAUGAAGUCGGAAUCGCUAGUAAUCGCGGAUCAGCAUGCCGCGGUGAAUACGUUCCCGGGCCUUGUACACACCGCCCGUCACACCAUGAGAGUUUGUAACACCCAAAGUCGGUG
rnacentral:rRNA from 2 species